GACGAACGCUGGCGGCGUGCCUAAUACAUGCAAGUCGAACGCAGUGGGGACGGGUGAGUAAAACGUGGGUAACCUCCCCAUACGAGGGGAUAACACUUGGAAACAGGUGCUAAACCGCAACUGAUGGAUGAACCCGCGUGUCAUAAGUUAGUUGGUGAGUGAACGGCGCACAAAGGCCACGAUGCAUAGCCGACAGGAGAGGGUGAUCGGCCACACUGGGACUGAGACACGGCCCAGACUCCUAUGGGAGGCAGCAGUGGGGAAUCUUCUGCAAUGGACGAAAGUCUGACCGAGCAACGCCGCGUGAGGGAAGAAGGUUUUCGGAUCGUAAAACUCUGUUGUUAGAGAAGCGGUAUCUAACCAGAAAGCCACGGCUAACUACGUGCCAGCAGCCGCGGUAAUAC
rnacentral:rRNA from 1 species